rnacentral:antisense_RNA from 1 species
GGAAUCCGCGGCCAGGGACCCGCGCAGGCCCCUCCUUAGCUGAGGGGCGGCCGGGUACUCGGGUCCCGACCCGCGACCACCGCACCCAUCACCACCACAGCGGGAACUGCCCGGCGGCCCCCAGAAGCCCCGGCCCGGCCGCAGAGGUGGGCCCCCGAGCACAGAGGCCCCGAAACUCGGCUCGCAGCCCUCAGCCCCAAUGUCGGGGGGCGCGGUGGCCCCGGGCGAACCCCCACCCCGCCCCUGGAGCCCACAGGUGGCCCCACAACUUCGCGGCCCGCGCUGCGCCCGCGGGGCCUAGCACGCUGCCGCGGGACCUGCCCAACGUGGAGUGUGUGCCCGCCCCCUCCCGCCCCGGCCCCCGGCGCAGCCCUUACCCAGAAGACGAAAUUGAAGACGAAGAGCAGGAGGAAGAAACAGUGUGGUGAACACAUGGUAUCGUCUGUUCCGCCAUCCACCCCUCUGUUGACCUGCCAAAGUCCACCCAGUCACUACACCCUCUCCAGACCCAGCAUCUCCGAUGGAUGAGCACAUCAGGUUUGGAUAUGCCCUCUCUUGGUCCAGCACCCUAUGAAUUUAAACAUUGAGUUAUUGUCCCCCUAUGCUAGAUUGUAUCUGUGACCCCAGUCUCUCGCCCUUUCCUGUGCCCAAGGCCAGCCACGACUUGCUGUCAUGGGAAUGCGCCCAGCCAAGAUCAGUCAAGCAGAGCCCAGACACAUAAGCAGGAAAAGCUGACUGUUGUGCACCACGGAGACUGUGUAGAUACGUGUUAAUUUGCGUUUCUUCUUAUGGCAGCGCCCUCCUUCACAUAGCCUGCUUCUGUAUUAGUCAGGACAGGCCAGGCUGUAUUGUGGUAGCAGUCGGAACCCCCAAACCCAGCUGCUGCCAAGAGAGCAGGCACUGGGGGCCCGAGUGAUGGGGACUUGGUGGAGCUGGAGCAGCAAACUUGCUAAAAUCACUCCUGGUGACCUGGCAGGCUGAAUACAAGAAGGCUCAGCCAGGAGCACAAGGGGCGAAGUGGAAAAACACCGCAUUGCGAGUUUUGUGUUAGGUCCAGUAACACGAGACGGAGACCAGCUUGAGAAAGAAGGCCCAGCUUACAAGCAGAGAUGAAAGUGAACAGAGAGAUGGAUCCAGAAAUUCAGAGAACUGCAAGGGCAGAAAAACCAACUGCUCCAAGCGUUAGGAUUUUAACAAGCUUUGGGAGACAAAGGCCCAAUAAAAUGCCUGAGUUGGACCGAUCAACAGAAGACAAAGAUGGGAUUAAGGCCCAUUCAAGUCUGAGAGCCUUCUGACAGCUGCCAUUGAGUUGAUGGAGAGGAAUGAGAGCAAAUACAUCCUGAAACUUCA